rnacentral:lncRNA from 1 species
UUGGCUAGGUGCCAAGCGGUGGACUUCCUGGGCUUUGGGGUGGGGCUUGGCAAGGGGAAGCCCUUUGGACACAGAGCCACCCAGUGAAAGGUUCAGGCAAAGAAUAACACCCAGUCUUGCACAGCCUGUCUCCCCUCCCCCACUCGUCUCCGCUAAGUGAAAGGCUCUGAAGUCACUCUUUGUGACCACAGUUUAAUUUCCUCCCCCCCCCACUCCACCCCAAUAGGAUUUCCUAGGCUGAGUAAAAACAUCUACAAUGUGGAGGCGGGUGAUCACCCUGUGCGCUAUGGCUCACAAUAGGUAGGGAAGACACCUAUUUCAGGACCUGCCUUCCCCGCCUAGGAGGAGGGAUUCAGUUGUCAGGGUCUCAAGCCAUCAAUUAUUAGUGACAAUUCAUCCCCUCAAGUUCUUUCACAGAACCUUGGGUCUAAAGUCUCUAUAUAGUUAAACCCAGGAGUAAGCCGAUUUCUGAGUACCCGACCUUGACUCGGCCUCCAUUUUCUCUGAAAUAAAUCAGCUGAAAUCUGAACUCAUUCAUCCAGAUCAAGACCAAGGAAAUCUUUGCAGCCUGAUGCAGCUGAGUGGGAUGCAUUUAGCAAGAAUGAAGAGCCUGCAAAAAAAACGACUUUCAGAUCCCAUGGAUAGAGGCCAGAUAGCAUGCUACUCCCCUGGAGAACACAGACACUCACUAUCCCACCAGUGUGUGCCAUUUGUCCUCAUUACCAGAAUCCUGGCAUACAGGAGGAACCCGAUAAAUGGGUUUUGCACGGAGUCAAACUAAAUCUGACUAUGCUUGCUGGCUGAACUCUGAGAUGUUGCCCCACAUUGGAGAAAGGUAAAAAUAUCCCCGAUCAUGGCUGUAUCUCCUGGAGAGAACUCAGACCUAGCGCUGUGUUUCCCUCACACAACGGAUCCCCUGGAGGGCGUCCUAAACCAGAUUCCCGAGCUGUCCCCAGCGUUUGAGUCAGUGAGCCUCCGGUGGGUCUAAGAAUUUGCAUUUCUCUAGGGGUUCCAGGCUGAUAAUCUCCAUUACUGAUCUGAGAAUGGUCGCCUCAGUGAAUCCAAGACCCUCACCUCAAUAUUCACCCAGAAGACCUGGUUGGCCCCAAUUUUAUAUAGGAAGAGGGAAGCUGGGAGCAUCAUGAGUACCUCACUUUUGCACAGACGCUCCACCACGCAAGGUAAGGGCAAGCAUGUCUAUCUAGGACUGGUUAUCUGUGCUCGUUUUUAUUUAGUUCGUUGACUCCAUCCUUAUUGAAAGUCACUUCCCCCAAAACAUGUUUUGCUACAGCGAGGGAGCACUAGGAAUUUCCUGUGGCUAGGCAGCCCAGUGCCUGCAGGGGUGGAGGCAGCGCUGAGCAAUCCAGUCCUUCCCUUGGCUCGGGCAGGGCCACGUGCCCCACCCCCUCGCUUGCACAUGUCUCCGCCGCCACCGCCGCAGCAGCCGGGCUGUUUAUGAGCGAGUUGUUGUGGU